rnacentral:tRNA from 1 species
CCUUCGAUAGCUCAGUUGGUAGAGUGGAGGACUGUAGUGGAACAUCCAGUUAUCCUUAGGUCGCUGGUUCAAAUCCGGCUCGAAGGA